rnacentral:rRNA from 1 species
AUGGGAGGGAGGGGGAGGGAGCAAGGCGGGGAGAGGGACGACGUCAACGGCGGAGGAGAGGACGGAGCUGACGGACAUGAGAGGAGGCCCGCGGCGCCGCGCGUGCCGCUCUACCGGAUGUUCGCCUUCGCGGACAGGACGGACGCGGCGCUCAUGGCGGUGGGCGCGGCCACGGCGGUGGCCAACGGGAUGGCGCAGCCGCUCAUGACCUUCAUCUUCGGCGACGUCAUCGACGCCUUCGGCUCCGCCGCCUCGUCGCGGGACGUCCUGCACAGGGUCACCAAGGUGAUCAUUAACUUCGUUUAUCUUGGUAUUGGAGCAGGACUUGCUUCAACACUUCAGGUAUCAUGCUGGACAAUUACUGGAGAAAGACAGGCAGCAAGAAUCAGAGCUAUGUAUCUCAAGGCGAUUCUCAGACAGGACAUUGCUUUUUUUGACAAGGAAAUGAGCACUGGACAAGUUGUUGAGAGGAUGUCUGGGGACACAUUCCUCAUUCAAGAUGCCAUUGGAGAAAAGGUUGGCAAGAUCAUACAGCUCCUUUCUACCUUUUUUGGAGGCUUCAUUGUUGCAUUUGUGAGAGGAUGGCUCUUGACACUUGUCAUGCUCUCAAGCAUCCCUCCAGUAGCCGUGGCCGGUGCUAUUGUGUCAAGGAUGAUGACAACGUUGUCCACUAAAAUGCAAGCAAAAUAUGGUGAUGCUGGAGACAUUGUUGAGCAAACUAUUGGGACCAUUCGAACGGUUGUCUCAUUCAAUGGUGAGAAGCAAGCUAUAACAACAUAUAACAAGUUCAUAAGAAAAGCAUAUGAGUCUGCUCGUCGAGAAGGUGCUGUCAGUGGCCUUGGAGUGGGUUCAAUAAUGGCAAUCUUGUUUUGCAGCUAUGGGUUGGCAGUUUGGUAUGGAUCUAAAUUGAUAGUCGACCGAGGAUAUAAUGGUGGCAUAGUUAUUACUAUUAUAAUGUCCGUCAUGGUUGGCGCAAUGUCCUUAGGUCAGGCAGCACCAUCAAUAACAGCUUUUGCACAAGGUCAAGGAGCAGCAUAUAGAAUGUUCAAGACAAUUGAAAGACAACCAUGUAUUGAUGUAUAUAACACCACAGGUAUCAUAUUGGAAGACAUCAAGGGUGAUGUUGAACUGAAGGAUGUCUACUUCAGCUAUCCUACCAGGCCUGAACAUUUGGUAUUUGAUGGAUUCUCCUUACUGGUACCAAGUGGAACUACAAUGGCACUAGUUGGAGUGAGCGGUAGUGGAAAGUCAACUGUCGUCAGUUUGGUGGAGAGAUUCUACGAUCCACAGUCUGGGGAAGUCUUGAUAGAUGGAGUUGACAUUAGAAGAAUGACUCUUGGGUGGAUAAGAGGAAAAAUCGGUCUCGUCAGCCAAGAACCAGUAUUGUUCUCGAGUACGAUCAGGGAAAAUAUUUCCUAUGGGAAGGAUGAUCUUAAUCUCGAAGAGAUCAGAAGAGCAAUCGAGCUUGCAAAUGCAGCAAACUUCAUUGAUAAACUGCCAAAUGGUCUUGAGACAAUGGUUGGGGAACGUGGAAUUCAGCUGUCUGGAGGGCAGAAGCAAAGAAUAGCAAUUGCUAGAGCGAUUAUAAAAAACCCUAGGAUAUUGCUACUUGAUGAAGCAACCAGCGCGCUGGAUAUGGAAUCUGAGAGGGUCGUUCAAGAAGCUUUGGAUAGGGUAAUGUUAGAAAGGACUACAAUCAUUGUUGCACACCGCCUAAGCACAGUAAAGAACGCUGAUGUCAUAUCUGUCCUACAACACGGGAAGAUUGUGGAACAAGGUUCACAUGUAGAACUGGUGAACAAACCUGAAGGUGCAUACUCUCAGCUGAUUCAUCUGCAAGAGACUCUGCAGGUAGCAGAAGCCCCUAAUGUCGAUCCUGAUGCGAUAAUGGAAAACAGUUUUGGCUCUAGGUCGUUCACAAGGAAACCAAGAAGCCAAGGUAGCUCCUUUAGAAGAUCAACCAGUAAAGGCUCCUCUUUUGGGCACAGUGGUACACAUCCUUACCCUGCUCCAUGUGAUCCCAUGGAAUUCAACAAUGAUCAAGACCUAGAGGAGAGUGCAGAUAAAAUAUCUAGUGACAGAAAGAAAGCUCCAAUCGGCCGACUCUUUUAUCUGAACAAACCAGAGGCUCUUGUUCUUGCUCUUGGUUCGGUUGCUGCUGCAAUGCACGGGGCCAUUUUGCCUGUAUAUGGCAUAUUGAUUUCAAGUGCAAUAAAGACGUUUUAUGAGCCGCCAGCAGAACUACUCAAGGACUCGAGGUUCUGGGCAAGCAUGUUUGCCAUGCUGGGUGCUUGUGCGCUUGUUCUGAUUCCAAUAGAGUACUUCUUGUUUGGAUUAGCAGGUGGGAAGCUUGUGGAGCGCAUACGGUCGCUGACAUUCCGAAGUGUCAUGCACCAGGAUAUCAACUGGUUUGAUAAACCUGAACACUCUAGUGGAGCAAUAGGUGCAAGGCUAUCGACUGAUGCUCUGAACGUGAAGCGGCUUGUUGGAGAAAAUUUAGCACUUAAUGUCCAGACUAUAUCGACCAUCAUAGUAGGUUUCGCAAUAGCUAUGGUGGCAAACUGGAAGCUGGCAUUGAUUAUCACAGUGGUGGUUCCAUUGGUGGGUUUCCAAGCCUAUGCUCAAAUGAAGUUCCUGAAAGGUCUCAAUAAAAAUGCAAAGUUAAAGUAUGAGGAAGCAAGUCAAGUAGCAACCGACGCCGUUGGAGGAAUCAGAACCGUGGCGUCGUUUUGCGCAGAGCAGAAGGUGAUGGAUGCCUAUGAAAAGAAAUGUGAAUCUCCAACAAGGCAGGGAGUGAGGGAAGGUGUUGUUGGUGGCUUGGGAUUUGGGUUUUCAUUCCUUAUGUUCUACCUUACUUAUGCUCUCUGCUUCUACGUCGGUGCAAAGUUUGUUCAUGAAGGAACGGCAACAUUUCCUGAAGUGUUUCGGGUCUUCUUCGUAUUAGUUUUGGCGGCUACUGGGAUCUCACGAACAAGCGCAGUAGGUGCAGAUAGCACCAAGGCUAGUGAAUCGGCCAUCUCCGUGUUCGAAAUUCUUGACCGUAAGUCCAAGAUAGAUUCCAGCAGCGAGGAGGGCAUGGUGGUUGCAAAUCUCAGGGGUGACAUUGAGUUCCAGAAUGUGUGCUUCAGUUACCCCUUACGCCCUAAUGUUCAAAUAUUCACUGAUCUGUCCUUGAUCAUUCCUUCUGGAAAGACAGCUGCCCUUGUUGGAGAGAGUGGAAGUGGGAAGUCCACCGCCAUUGCGCUGCUCGAGAGGUUCUACGACCCGAGUUCAGGCAGGAUCCUUUUUGACGGCGUGGAGCUUCCGACCCUCAAAGUCAGCUGGCUUCGGCUACAGAUCGGGCUCGUGGCGCAAGAGCCAGUGCUGUUCAACGACACCAUCCGCGCCAACAUAGCCUACGGAAAGCAAGGGGAGGCCUCCGAAGAAGAGAUUGUGGCCGCCGCUGAAGCAGCCAACGCGCACCAGUUCAUCUCCGGGCUGCCUGAUGGGUACAACACCAUCGUCGGUGAGCGGGGGAUCCAGCUGUCCGGCGGGCAGAAGCAACGGGUCGCCAUCGCGAGGGCCGUCAUCAAGGACCCCAAGAUGCUCCUGCUGGACGAGGCAACGAGUGCUCUGGACGCCGAGUCGGAGCGCGUGGUGCAGGAGGCGCUGGACCGGGUGAUGGUCGGGAGGACGACCGUGGUGGUGGCGCAUCGCCUGUCGACUGUGAGAGGCGCCGACAUUAUCAGCGUCGUGAAGAACGGGACGAUAGUGGAGAAAGGAAGGCAUGAAGAACUGAUGCGGAUGAAGGAUGGAGCCUACGCUUCCCUUGUCGAGCUUAGCUCCACUUCAAGAUAA